CUAACCAGGAUUCCCCCAGUAACGGCGAGUGAAGCGGGAAGAGCUCACGUUGUAAAUCUGACUUUCGGGUCCGAAUUGUAGUCUGGAGAGGCGAGGCCAGCCGGCGGUGGGGGCGAAGUCUCUUGGAAAAGAGCAUCAAGGAGGGUGACAAUCCCGUUCUUGCCCCCGAUUUCCGUCGCGCGUACGGCCCGUUUUCUACGAGUCGAGUUGCUUGGGAUUGCAGCUCAAAGCGGGUGGUAAAUUCCAUCUAAAGCUAAACACGGGUGGGAGACCGAUAGCGAACAAGUACCGUGAGGGAAAGAUGCAAAGAACUUUGAAAAGAGAGUUAAAGAGUGCCUGAAAUUGCUGAAAGGGAAGCGAAGGAAACCAGUGUCUGGCCGUUCCGCUUCUCCUCCGCUUCUCGAAGCGUUGGUUUGCGUUUCGGCCGUGGCCAGGGCCGGGUGGUGUUGCGGGAUGCUGCGCCUGGGAAGGUAGCUCUUUUAGAGUGAAUACCUAGGCGUUUCGUCGCGACGCCGGCCGGUCCUGACGAAAUGGUUUUCUUUAC
rnacentral:rRNA from 1 species